GACCGUUCCGGUGGCUUAAUUGGUUAAAGCGUCCGCCUCGGAUGCAGGAGGUCGCGGUUUCGAACCAAGGCCGAGUCA